rnacentral:rRNA from 1 species
GGAAUAUUGGACAAUGGGCGAAAGCCUGAUCCAGCAAUGCCGCGUGAGUGAUGAAGGCCCUAGGGUUGUAAAGCUCUUUUACCCGGGAUGAUAAUGACAGUACCGGGAGAAUAAGCUCCGGCUAACUCCGUGCCAGCAGCCGCGGUAAUACGGAGGGAGCUAGCGUUGUUCGGAAUUACUGGGCGUAAAGCGCGCGUAGGCGGUCCAUCAAGUCAGAGGUGAAAGCCCGGGGCUCAACCCCGGAAUUGCCUUUGAAACUGGCGGACUAGAAUCUUGGAGAGGCGAGUGGAAUUCCGAGUGUAGAGGUGAAAUUCGUAGAUAUUCGGAAGAACACCAGUGGCGAAGGCGACUCGCUGGACAAGUAUUGACGCCGAGGUGCGAAAGCGUGGGGAGCAAA